GUCAUACCAUAGGUUUAGUCCAUAAAAUUGUUAUAUUAUAGAACAUUUCACUCGAAAUCUUGUACUUUUCACAUAUGGUAACAUAAGGACCAAAACUGUUAAUUUUGAAAUAGUAGAAACCAUAGUUUAAGGCAAACAGGGAAUUUUUUUUGUAACUGACCUUUUGUUGUGUUGUAAUGGUGUUGAGACACUGCAUAGAGCUUGCAACAAUUUUGACAAGGAUUAGCUGUAGAUGGUGCCAUCCAGGGUUCUCAAUUUUAAGAUGUGUAAGAUCCAAUAGAGAGGGCAAGUACUCUUAAUGCAGAAAAGCUGGUGGUUGUUCUUUCUCGUUUGAGGAUGCUUUUCGACUUUUUGUCCUCCAACUUCUCAGCUGAAACCCACCUUCGGGCAACAAAUUUAUUGAGCAUUUUGUUACUCUUUACUACCUGCUCCAUAGGGACACUCUGAAGGUAAUUAGUUCCUUAGCUUCUGGGAAUAAACUAGGGGGUGUCGGUUGCAGGUAUUUUGCAAGUAAGAGGAGCAGGAGAGUAAAAGAGACCAGAAAGCAACAUAUUCUUUUGUUAAUCCAAAAAUACUUGGCCAAAACUAUUUGUUAUUACUUACUACUUCUACUACAAACGGUACUUAUUUGGUGAAUGAAACGGGGGCUUUUUUUUCCAAAUAGUUGUGUUUGGAAAAAAUAAACAUACAAACAGGUU
rnacentral:misc_RNA from 1 species